UGGGGAAUAUUGCACAAUGGGCGCAAGCCUGAUGCAGCAACGCCGCGUGAGGGAUGACGGCCUUCGGGUUGUAAACCUCUUUUAGCAGGGAAGAAGCGAAAGUGACGGUACCUGCAGAAAAAGCGCCGGCUAACUACGUGCCAGCAGCCGCGGUAAUACGUAGGGCGCAAGCGUUAUCCGGAAUUAUUGGGCGUAAAGAGCUCGUAGGCGGUUUGUCGCGUCUGCUGUGAAAUCCCGAGGCUCAACCUCGGGUCUGCAGUGGGUACGGGCAGACUAGAGUGCGGUAGGGGAGAUUGGAAUUCCUGGUGUAGCGGUGGAAUGCGCAGAUAUCAGGAGGAACACCGAUGGCGAAGGCAGAUCUCUGGGCCGUAACUGACGCUGAGGAGCGAAAGGGUGGGGAGCAAAACAGGCUUAGAAUGACCCUGGUAGUCCACCCCGUAAACGUUGGGAACUAGUUGUGGGGUCCAUUCCACGGAUUCCGUGACGCAGCUAACGCAUUAAGUUCCCCGCCUGGGGAGUACGGCCGCAAGG
rnacentral:rRNA from 1 species